rnacentral:rRNA from 1 species
UUGUCUCAAAGAUUAAGCCAUGCAUGUCUCAGUACAAGCCAAAUUAAGGUGAAACCGCGAAAGGCUCAUUAAAUCAGUUAUGGUUCCUUAGAUCGUACCCACACUUACUUGGAUAACUGUGGUAAUUCUAGAGCUAAUACAUGCAAACAGAGCUCCGACCGGAGACGGAAGGAGUGCUUUUAUUAGAUCAAAACCAAUCGGUGGCGGUUGGUGACUCUGAAUAACUUUACGCUGAUCGCACGGUCAUCGCACCGGCGACGCAUCUUUCAAAUGUCUGCCUUAUCAACUGUCGAUGGUAGGUUCUGCGCCUACCAUGGUUGUAACGGGUAACGGGGAAUCAGGGUUCGAUUCCGGAGAGGGAGCCUGAGAAACGGCUACCACAUCCAAGGAAGGCAGCAGGCGCGCAAAUUACCCACUCCCGGCACGGGGAGGUAGUGACGAAAAAUAACGAUACGGGACUCAUCCGAGGCCCCGUAAUCGGAAUGAGUACACUCUAAACCCUUUAACGAGGAUCAAUUGGAGGGCAAGUCUGGUGCCAGCAGCCGCGGUA